GCCUGACUGUAAACUACUAGCCAAAAAAGUACAAGCCCCCGCUUCAAACUUUAAGGACCUGGCGGUACUCUAUAUCAACCUAGAGGGGCCUGCCCAAUAAUCGAUAAUCCACGAAAAACCUCACCAUUUCUCGCCCUCAGCCUAUAUACCGCCGUCUUCAGCACAUUUCACAAAAAAUGAAGCUCAACAGUACUCCACACUAACACGUCAGGUCAAGGUGUAGCCCAUGAAAUGGAAUAAGCGUGGGCCACAUUGCAACACACAGAAACCCCACUGAAACACGGGAUGGAAGAUGAAUUUAGCAGUAAGAGGAGCCGAAUGCCCCACUGAACUAAAACACGCCCUAGAGUACGC
rnacentral:rRNA from 1 species